GACGGCGACGCAGCAGUGAGGAAUAUUGGUCAAUGGGCGGAAGCCUGAACCAGCCAAGUCGCGUGAGGGAUUAAGGCCCUGCGGGUCGUAAACCUCUUUUGCCGGGGAGCAGAGGUCCGGACGUGUCCGGGCCGGGAGAGUACCCGGAGAAAAAGCAUCGGCUAACUCCGUGCCAGCAGCCGCGGUAAUACGGAGGAUGCGAGCGUUAUCCGGAUUUAUUGGGUUUAAAGGGUGCGUAGGCGGGCAUUUAAGCCGGCGGUCAAAUGUCGGGGCUCAACCCCGGCCUGCCGUCGGAACUGGGGGCC
rnacentral:rRNA from 1 species